rnacentral:rRNA from 1 species
AGAGUUUGAUCGUGGCUCAGGAUGAACGCUGGCGGCGUGCCUAACACAUGCAAGUCGAGCGAUCUUCUUCGGAAGAGAGCGGCGGACGGGUGAGUAACGCGUGGGUAACCUGCCCUGUACACACGGAUAACAUACCGAAAGGUAUGCUAAUACGGGAUAACAUAAGAGAGUCGCAUGGCUAUCUUAUCAAAGCUUUUGCGGUACAGGAUGGACCCGCGUCUGAUUAGCUAGUUGGUAAGGUAACGGCUUACCAAGGCGACGAUUAGUAGCCGACCUGAGAGGGUGAUCGGCCACAUUGGAACUGAGACACGGUCCAAACUCCUACGGGAGGCAGCAGUGGGGAAUAUUGCACAAUGGGCGAAAGCCUGAUGCAGCAACGCCGCGUGAGCGAUGAAGGCCUUCGGGUCGUAAAGCUCUGUCCUCAAGGAAGAUAAUGACGGUACUUGAGGAGGAAGCCCCGGCUAACUACGUGCCAGCAGCCGCGGUAAUACGUAGGGGGCUAGCGUUAUCCGGAAUUACUGGGCGUAAAGGGUGCGUAGGCGGUCUUUCAAGUCAGAAGUGAAAGGCUACGGCUCAACCGUAGUAAGCUUUUGAAACUGUAAGACUUGAGUGCAGGAGAGGAGAGUGGAAUUCCUAGUGUAGCGGUGAAAUGCGUAGAUAUUAGGAGGAACACCAGUUGCGAAGGCGGCUCUCUGGACUGUAAC